GCAUGUGCUUACCCGUGCGAACCAGUGCCGAGAACCACGGGCAUCGAGUAGAUCCGUCAUCUUUUGGGACGGCCACCACCACCAAGGACCAACGUGACCACUUCCGGACAGGGGGUCGGGUUUCUUACACGUCCUCUAUCAAGGUGCUUGCCCUGUCCGCAAUGACACUAUUCUGAGUACCUCAAUCUUGUGGCAACCUCCUGGUAUGUCUUCUGUCUGAUCCAUGGUCUUCUCAUCCUCUUUCGUUUCUGAUUAGCAUGAUUAUCUUUUAGUCUGUUAGAAUUAUAUAUUGGAAGAGAGGAUCAAGGAUAACCACCAGGUAUAGCAUUUGGUUGGAUUGAUGUUUCGUCCGCACUGCCACUUCAUUAUUUCCUGUACAGUCCACCUUCACACUCUUGUAAGCUCAACCAAAGAUUUCUGACUAAGUUCUCAUGAUUUAUCAAUAUACAAAAUAUUAAAUUUUGUAGUGUAAAUAAUUGUGUUUCUUUUGUAUGGGUCACCAGGGAUAGGAAACAGAAAGCCACCAGUGGUGAACAACAAGUGCAGAUUUCUAGUCCUUCAGGUGAUUGAUCAUUGUGGUAAUUCAUUCUUUUUUCAGAAUUUGAUUGCAAUUGGGUUGGAGGGAAGCAACAAAAUUCCUAUCCUGUAAUAUGCAUUUUUGGUGUGUGCCUUGACAGUUGUUCAGGUCGAUACAGAAUUUCAUUCAUGUGGUUUUUUAAGGCACUCAAUUUAACAUUGUUUUUAUUUUUGUCUAAGAGUUGGAUUGCCGUUAAGAUUUGAGACUGAUAUAUGUAGGGGCCUACAAGAUCCAAUUCAUGUUAGUUACCUACUCAGUGCUUACCUAUAAAUCUGUACCUCGGUGCAUCUUUCAUAAAAUGUUAAUUCUGUAAUUUAUAGAAGUGAACAAAUUCCUUAAAGUAGUUCUUACAUGUGCUAUAGACGAUUCAUCAUUGAUGAAAGGUGAAAGGAACAUAGCUGGGAAAUUGAUUUGGGCAUUUAUUGUCGAGAUAGCUAGGUAAUGAAACUGUAGCUGUACAUGAGAGCAGUUGUUCUAUAAGAUAUUGAGAGCUUUACUUUGGGUGCUCAAGUGCAACAAUUACUUCUUCCUGAAGGAUCUUGUUUCUGUCUUUGAUGGGUCUCUACACAUAUGCUUGCAGCAUAUACAAGCUAUUAUUGAUUUUUUUUAGUUUUUAAUGGUCAAAAAUCAUGUUGUUCCUGUUUGCUCUUUAUUAAAAUCUUCCCGGGAUUUAAUUCAGAAAGAAUGAUGCUCCGGACGAUUUAGGUCGUGCUUAGAUAAUAGCAACAAGCAAUGGCGACAAACUUCACCUAAAUGGCCAGUUAGAUAAAUGCUCCUGUACUCACACAUCUCUUACGCCAUUUAGAUUCAUACACACUUUGUAUCAGCAUCACCUGGAAACACGUUUAUGCUGUCACACAUCUGUUGGCAUCUAGCUUUCAUUUCUUUUUGAAUUUUGCUCAGAUUGGAGAUGGGAGAGAGAGCAAGGCUCGGUACUUCUUUACUAACUGUUGAUGCUGCCCUUCGAAGAAGGGAGAGAUACAACAAACGCUUCAGAGUGUUCUAAUGUGCUCAUCAUGUGAUUUUAUUUGAUUAUCUAAUUUAUUCUCGAGACUUUAAAUGGAGUCAAAUCCGCCAGGUCGUGCAUGGGGAUGAGAUUGGAAGACCCGACAGCGUCGGCGAAACAACAUGCUUUUAAUGCUUCAAGGUGGUUUUACAAUCACCAUGCUUUUAAUGCCAGCUUGUCUUUCGAAGUGGGCUAAUUCAGUAGGCUUACUCAAUGUCUCAUGGGUUCAUGUAUUAGGUAUCAUCAACAAGAGUUGGCUGCAGCUGCUAUAUGUAUGUUAUGGAUCAGACAUGUUAUGAAUUACAAUUUUGUUAUCAAUGCUUUAUGUUUAUUGUUUCGUUCCAAUGCAUGAGUAUUCGUCUUGUUUUAAAAGAAUAGUUUGGAGGCCAUCAAAUCAAGGGUAAAGACAUGGAAAUUAUCACUUCUUGCAUAUGUUAUAGCAUAAAAUGAUUUUUUGUCAAUGUUAAUAUUUGUCAAUUCAUUCUGCAGCAACGGACCCGCUGUGGUAGUAGUAGUGAGGUGGAUAUAUCUGCAAGGACAUGAGACAUGUAGAACCAUUGAAAUAUUUAUAUCCACUAGAUAAAAAUGUACACAUAAGCUCGGUACAUGCUUGGAGAAGGUGCGGCGUUGCGAUGAACAACAG
rnacentral:lncRNA from 1 species